UCUUCAAUAGCUCAGCUGGUAGAGCGGAGGACUGUAGAUUCUUAGGUGCUGGUUUGAUUCCGACUUGGAGAG
rnacentral:tRNA from 1 species